GGGAGCUUGCUCCUGGAUUAGUGGCGAACGGGUGAGUAACACGUGAGUAACCUGCCCUUAACUCUGGGAUAAGCCUGGGAAACUGGGUCUAAUACCGGAUAUGACUCCUCAUCGCAUGGUGGGGGGUGGAAAGCUUUAUUGUGGUUUUGGAUGGACUCGCGGCCUAUCAGCUUGUUGGUGAGGUAAUGGCUUACCAAGGCGACGACGGGUAGCCGGCCUGAGAGGGUGACCGGCCACACUGGGACUGAGACACGGCCCAGACUCCUACGGGAGGCAGCAGUGGGGAAUAUUGCACAAUGGGCGCAAGCCUGAUGCAGCGACGCCGCGUGAGGGAUGACGGCCUUCGGGUUGUAAACCUCUUUCAGUAGGGAAGAAGCGAAAGUGACGGUACCUGCAGAAGAAGCGCCGGCUAACUACGUGCCAGCAGCCGCGGUAAUACGUAGGGCGCAAGCGUUAUCCGGAAUUAUUGGGCGUAAAGAGCUCGUAGGCGGUUUGUCGCGUCUGCCGUGAAAGUCCCGGGGCUCAACUCCGGAUCUGCGGUGGGUACGGGCAGACUAGAGUGAUGUAGGGGAGACUGGAAUUCCUGGUGUAGCGGUGAAAUGCGCAGAUAUCAGGAGGAACACCGAUGGCGAAGGCAGGUCUCUGGGCAUUAACUGACGCUGAGGAGCGAAAGCAUGGGGA
rnacentral:rRNA from 1 species